UCAAGAUCUCAAUUAUAAGCUCAAGUUUUGAUGACAACUUGGUGAUCUGCAGAAAGCCCCACCAUCUCAUAGGAACUCCAAUCUUCCCAACUGUGAGAGGGCCUUGCUCCAGUGACUGUCAGUGAAAUGGAGUGAGGCAUACCAGGAUAUGCCUGGUUUUACUUUUGGGAAGGAGGUUGAACAGUGCAAUAUUUCUUCUAUAGGAUUGCAGUGACCAGACAUGCUACUGUAACUCUCAUGGUCAUGUGCUGGAAUUAGCAGAUAUUCAACAAUUUGGCCAUCUCGCUGACCUGUUGAUAUCAGAAGACCGCAACAGCUCUACAAAGCAAGUUGCAAAACAGAAUCCAUGAAACUGGCAGUGACUGGAAACCAAUUGGAAGACUUUGGUCUGUGAUGUAGAGGAGUGGGCAGAGGCAGAAGCAAAGACAACAAAAAACAGAAGUGAUAUGGAUGUCUUUGUCAUAUUGCAUG
ensembl:lincRNA